GACCUUGUGGCCCAAUGGCAAGGCGCUUGACUACGAUUUGUGUUCAGCGAGAAGUUGAUCCGAUAGCUUAUCAAGAGAUUCUAGGUUCGAUCCCUAGCAAGGUCG